GGUUUUAUUCAUACUACUAAGCCAAUGCUAAUGAAACACUAACAUGUAUAGGACUCACCUGGGGGGCUUGUUAACAUUCAUAUUCUGAUUCACCUUCUGCAUUUCUGCCCCGCUCCCCGGUGAUGCUGACGCCACUGGUCCAGGACCACGAAUCCACAGAUGGAGGCGGCAAGAAUUAAAGAGCCGUUCUCUCCUUUCCCACAGUUAGCCAGCCUGAGGAAGCAGUGUUUCCCUUUCUCUGCUGAUGGCUGCACAUUACUUUGACAUCUUAUGGGGCCCACAAUACUGUGUGUAGAUCUCAUGCUGGGAAAAAGCCAGCACAGCCACUUCUGAGCCUUUUGUGUCAGAGCUCUGGACAUGCACCGUCCCUGCUCCCGGUUUCCAUCUUUGCCGAUCUCCCACCCUCCGCCUCUGCAGCUCACACUUGGCUGGAUCGCGCUC